AACGAACGCUGGCGGCGUGCCUAACACAUGCAAGUCGAACGUGAAAGUCCUUCGGGAUGAGUAAAGCGGCGCACGGGUGAGUAACACGUAGGUGACCUGCCUUUUAGAGGGGAAUAACCAGAAGAAAUUUUGGCUAAUGCCGCAUACGAAGCACGGUUUUAAGACUGUGCUUGAAAGAAUGCCUCUGCAUAUGCAUUCACUAAAAGAUGGGCCUGCGGAACAUUAGCUAGUUGGUGGGGUAAAGGCCUACCAAGGCAACGAUGUUUAUCCGGUCUGAGAGGAUGAUCGGACACACUGGAACUGAGACACGGUCCAGACUCCUACGGGAGGCAGCAGUGGGGAAUAUUGCGCAAUGGGGGAAACCCUGACGCAGCAACGCCGCGUGAGUGAGGAAGGACUUCGGUCUGUAAAGCUCUGUUAAUGUGGAAAAAUGGUAGUUGGUCUAAUAGGCCGAUUAUUUGAUGGUACACAUAGAGGAAGCACCGGCUAACUUCGUGCCAGCAGCCGCGGUAA
rnacentral:rRNA from 1 species